rnacentral:misc_RNA from 1 species
CAGCCGCGUAAUUCCAGCUCCAAUAGCGUAUAUUAAAGUUGUUGCAGUUAAAAAGCUCGUAGUUGAAUUUCGGGAUUGACACAUCGGUCGUGCCUUAAGGGGUAUGAACUGGUGUAGUCAAUUUCUCACCUUCUGGAGAACCGCAAUGCCCUUAAUUGGGUGUCGCGGGGAACCAGGACCUUUACUUUGAAAAAAUUAGAGGGUUUAAAGCAGGCAUUUUGCUUGAAUACAUUAGCAUGGAAUAAUAAAAUAGGACGGAUGAUUCUAUUUUGUUGGUUUCUAGGACCACCGUAAUGAUUAAUAGGGAUAGUUGGGGGCAUUAGUAUUCAAUUGUCAGAGGUGAAAUUCUUGGAUUUAUUGAAGACUAACUACUGCGAAAGCAUUUGCCAAGGAUGUUUUCAUUAAUCAAGAACGAAAGUUAGGGGAUCGAAGACGAUCAGAUACCGUCGUAGUCUUAACCAUAAACUAUGCCGACUAGGAAUCAGACGAUGUUAAUUUUUUAAUGACUCGUUUGGCACCUUACG